rnacentral:rRNA from 1 species
UUCCAGACUCCUACGGGAGGCAGCAGUGGGGAAUAUUGCACAAUGGGGGAAACCCUGAUGCAGCGACGCCGCGUGAGUGAAGAAGUAUUUCGGUAUGUAAAGCUCUAUCAGCAGGGAAGAAAAUGACGGUACCUGACUAAGAAGCCCCGGCUAACUACGUGCCAGCAGCCGCGGUAAUACGUAGGGGGCAAGCGUUAUCCGGAUUUACUGGGUGUAAAGGGGGCGCAGACGGCGAUGCAAGCCAGGAGUGAAAGCCCGGGGCCCAACCCCGGGACUGCUCUUGGAACUGCGUGGCUGGAGUGCAGGAGGGGCAGGCGGAAUUCCUGGUGUAGCGGUGAAAUGCGUAGAUAUCAGGAGGAACACCGGUGGCGAAGGCGGCCUGCUGGACUGCAACUGACGUUGAGGCUCGAAAGCGUGGGGAGCGAACAGGAUUAGAUACCCGUGUA